rnacentral:rRNA from 3 species
CUCGGCAACGGAUAUCUCGGCUCUCGCAUCGAUGAAGAACGUAGCGAAAUGCGAUACUUGGUGUGAAUUGCAGAAUCCCGUGAACCAUCGAGUCUUUGAACGCAAGUUGCGCCCAAAGCCAUUUGGCCGAGGGCAUGUCUGCCUGGGUGUCACGC